GGUACACUGAUUUUGGUAGCGGUAUAUCUCAUAGACCGAUCGAAGAUUUGGCAUACUCAGUUGCAAGAUUCAUACAAAAUCGCGGCUCCUUUGUUAACUACUACAUGUAUCAUGGAGGGACUAAUUUUGGUCGAACAUCGAGUGGUCUUUUCAUUGCAACAAGCUAUGAUUAUGAUGCUCCUAUUGACGAAUAUGGACUUGUGAAUGAACCAAAAUGGGGACAUUUGAGAGACUUGCAUAAGGCAAUAAAACAGUGUGAGCCAGCUUUGAUUGCUGUGGAUCCUACGGUCACAUAUUUCGGGAAAAACCUCGAGG